rnacentral:rRNA from 1 species
UACGGAGGAUCCGAGCGUUAUCCGGAUUUAUUGGGUUUAAAGGGUGCGCAGGCGGGAGAUUAAGUCGGCGGUGAAAUUUUGCAGCUCAACUGUAAAAGUGCCUUCGAAACUGGUUUCCUUGAGUGUAGAUGAAGUAGGCGGAAUUUGUGGUGUAGCGGUGAAAUGCAUAGAUAUCGCGAGGAACUCCGAUUGCGCAGGCAGCUUACUAAACUACUACUGACGCUCAGGCACGAAGGCGUGGGGAUCAAACAGGAUUAGAUACCCCCGUA